rnacentral:rRNA from 1 species
CCUACGGGAGGCAGCAGUGAGGAAUAUUGGUCAAUGGACGCAAGUCUGAACCAGCCAUGCCGCGUGCAGGAAGACGGCUCUAUGAGUUGUAAACUGCUUUUGUACGAGGGUAAAUCCCGAUACGUGUAUCGGGUUGAAAGUAUCGUACGAAUAAGGCUCGGCUAACUCCGUGCCCGCAGCCGCGGUAAUACGGAGGAUUCAAGCGUUAUCCGGAGUUAUUGGGGUUAAGUGGUGCGUAGGCGGUUCGAUAAGUUAGCGGUGAAAUCCAGGGGCUAAACUCCGGCACUGCCGUUGAUACUGGAGGGCGAGAGUUUAGUUGCGGUAGGCGGAAUGUAUGGGGUAGCGGUGAAAUGCAUAGAGAUCA